UACAGAGGGUGCGAGCGUUAAUCGGAAUUACUGGGCGUAAAGCGUGCGUAGACGGUUAUGUAAGUCGGAUGUGAAAGCCCCGGGCUCAACCUGGGAACUGCAUUCGAGACUGCAUAGCUAGGAUGCGGAAGAGGGAAGUGGAAUUUCCGGUGUAGCGGUGAAAUGCGUAGAUAUCGGAAGGAACAUCAGUGGCGAAAGCGACUUCCUGGUCCAGCAUCGACGUUCAGGCACGAAAGCGUGGGGAGCAAACAGG
rnacentral:rRNA from 1 species